rnacentral:lncRNA from 10 species
AGGAGAGCAAUGAUUAGCAAGGACAUCUCUAGAGCAAGAGAAGCCCCCGGUGUAGGGACAGUCCAGAAAACUCAAGAACCAGGAUGCUAUAUUGCUUUUUUUAUUUUUAUUUAUUUUUUACUUUUUAAAAUAUUUUGAGAUAGAGCCUCGCUCUGUCACCCUGGCUGGAGUGCAGCAGUGCCAUCCUGGCUCACUGCAACCUCCACCUCCCAGGUUCAAGUGAUCCUCCUGCCUUAGCCUCCCAAGUGCCUGGGAUUAUAGGUGUGCACCACCACACCCGGCUAAUUUUUUGUAUUUUUAGUAGAGACAGGGUUUCACCGUGUUGGCCAGGCUGGUCUCAAACUCCUAACCUAAAGUGAUCCACCUGCCUCCCAAAGUGCUGGGAUUACAGAUGUGAGCCGCUGCACCCAGCCAAGAACCAGGAUGCUGUGUUCCUGUAAUUGACCAGAUAUGCAGGACUGCAAUACCCCUUCCGUUAUCCACAAACACUUUUGGGAACCAGCUUUGUGUUCAUGAUGCUAUGAGGCAUGGCAGAUGUGAGGUGGUCCAGGGGUAACAGAGAUGGGGAGAGAGAAUGGCAGCUUCAGGAACAGAGGAUGAUGGCUAAGGACCAGAUGACAGUGGUGACCGAGGGCGUAACCCCCACUGACCAGGAGAAGAUCACCAGCUGCCAUGUUGGGAGGACACUCAGGCAGCCUGUGGAGGAACUCCCAUGGUGAGGAGUCUGCCAACAAUCAGAUGAGUGAACUUGGACAUGUAUCUUCCCAGGCCUGCCAACAUGUGAAUAGGCUGGGAAGCGGAUCUUUGACCCCUAUGUUGAGCCUUCAAAUGAAACCACAGCCCUGGUGAACAGCUUGUUGCAACCUUAUGAGAUACCUCAGAGCAGCAGUCCCCAACUUUUUGGCACCUGGGACCAGUUUCGUGGAAGGCAAUUUUCCCACAGACCGGGGUUGGGGGGUGGGGAUGGUUUUGGGAUGAAACUCUUCCACCUCAGGUCAUUAGCCAUUAGAGUCUCAUAAAGAACACACAACCUAGAUCCCUCUUCACGCUCCUAUGAGAAUCUAAUGCUGCUGCUGAUCUGGCAGGAGGCGAAGCUCAGGCAGUAAUGCUCACUCGCCCACCGCUCACCUCCUGCUGUGUGGCCUGAUCCUAACAGGCCAUAGACCAGUACCAGUCUAUGACCUGGGGGUUGGGAACCCCUGUCUUGGAGUACAGGUACCCAGCUGAGCUGUGGAAGAUUCUCAACACAGGGAAUGUGUAGAAUAAUGAAGAUUUAUUGUUUUAAGCCACUAAGUUUUGGAGUAAUUUGUUAUGCAGCAAUAGGUAACUAAUACACCAUCAAAUGCAUUUGCUCAGUCAGAUUGCAAGGCAGAAACUACUAGAGCUCCAGCUGCAACCCUGUUUUUCAGGAUAUAAAAGUAUAUAUAUUGUGGUAGACCAAAUAAUGAGCCUCCCAAAAUGUCCACGUUCCUAAUUUCCUGGAACAUAUUGUGAGUGUGUUACACUACAAGACAAAAGGGACUUUGCAGAUGUAAUUAAAGUUACAAACUUUAAAAUACAUUAUCUUAGAUGAGCUGAGUGGGUCCAAUCUAAUUACCUGAGCCCUUAAAAACAGAACUUUGGCUGGAGGCAGGAGAGAUUUGCCAGAAGUGGAAGUUGGAAAGAUUCAAAGUGUGAGAGGACCUCACUGUUGCUGGAAAAGGCAACGUGUAAAGCAUGAAAAUGAAGAUGGGCCGCCUCUAGGAGCUAAGACUCCACCCCAGUUGAUAGCCAGCAAGAAGACGGGGAUCUGGGCUCUGCAACUGUCAGGAACUGAACAACCUGAAAAACCCUGAAAGCAAUUCAGUGCUGGAGUCUCCAGAAAGGAAUGCAGCCCUGCUAACACCUUGAUUUUGGCCCUGUGAAAGCCAGGGAAGAAAAAUCAGUAGCGCCAACUGGGACUUCAGACCUACAGACGUCUAAGAUAAAUAAAUUUGUAUUAUUUUCAGUUCACUAAGU